UUGUGUGAACCAGCUACAUACUGUAUACAAUGCCUGUUUACUCAUAUUUCACUUAUUUAGUAACUCAAAAUAAUUUGCUCACUCAUUUAUUGUUCCCUCUCUUACUCCACCAUCUGAGCUGCUGCUGUUCACUGUGGACUAAAGGGAUUAUGUGCAGCUCCAACAUCCACACAGGAAGCAGCAAAGGAGGAAGACCCAGACUCAGUAUUUUUGCAGAGCAUCCAAGGUUACCUUGACGACAGAGAAGAAAUGAUUACAUCAUUUCAUGAUUACAAUGAUUACAGGACAAGCUGGAGAGCAGACAGAGACUCAGUGUUCCUGCAGUGCACCCAGUGUUACCUCAACAAGACAGCUGGAGAGAAGUGGUCAUCUGUGUUUCAGUCCACUAAGGCAGGACUCCUCUUGUGUCCAGGGGCCCCUGAGAGGGGAUGUGAACCAAACUGCACAAAGCCAGCAUCACAACCAUCCACUGAACACACUCUGUCACGCUAUUUCUCAACUUUACCAGUUAGCUGUUGCAAUCA